UACGGGGGGGGGAAGCGUUGUUCGGAAUUACGGGGCGUAAAGGGCUCGUAGGCGGCCAACUAAGUCAUACGUGAAAUCCCUCAGCUUAACUGGGGAACUGCGUGUGAUACUGGAUGGCUUGGAUUUGGGAGAGGGAUGCGGAAUUCCAGGUGUAGCGGUGAAAUGCGUAGAUAUCUGGAGGAACACCGGUGGCGAAGGCGGCAUCCUGGACCAAUAUUGACGCUGAGGAGCGAAAGCCAGGGGAGCAAACGGG
rnacentral:rRNA from 1 species